rnacentral:misc_RNA from 1 species
AAGUCGUAACAAGGUUUCCGUAGGUGAACCUGCGGAAGGAUCAUUCACACACGUUAGUCAUGUCGGCUGUGUGGUUCGCUGCAUGGUCGGCCUGCAACCCAAACCAAAUCCACCGAGCUACGUUCAACCCCUUCUAAGUCCAAAGUGCAAUGACUGACAUUGCUAGAGGAAAACAGUACUCGCUCUAAGUCAGGAACCCGUCAUAGCAUGAAUCUGAUCCUCGGAGUAAUUGUUAUGGCCAAAUAACCAGAUCCUCGGAUUCCAACCCCGGGGGUCGAACCACCUGUACUGGCUUUUCCUGGCAACAGGGACUGCCUUAACAUUUUGUCGAAAACUCGCUGGCGAAAGCUGGCAUUACGUAAUUCUAUACAACUCUUUGCAAUGGAUAUCUUGGUUCUC